rnacentral:tRNA from 1 species
GGGCGGGUGGUGAAAUUGGUAGACACGCAUGGUUUAGGACCAUGUGCCGCAAGGCUUGGAGGUUCGAGUCCUCUCCCGCCCA